rnacentral:rRNA from 1 species
UACGGGGGGGGCAAGCGUUGUUCGGAAUUACUGGGCGUAAAGGGCGCGUAGGCGGCCUGCUAAGUCACACGUGAAAUCCCUCGGCUCAACCGGGGAACUGCGUGUGAUACUGGCGGGCUUGAAUUCGGGAGAGGGAUGUGGAAUUCCAGGUGUAGCGGAGAAAUGCGUAGAUAUCCGGAGGAACACCGGUGGCGAAGGCGGCUUCCUGGACCGACACUGACGCUGAGGCGCGAAAGCUAGGGGAGCAAACGGG